UGAGCAUGAACAGGUCAAACUACAAAUUAGGGAAAUGAUCAACACUUUUUGGAGCAGAGCAGAAACUCAGAAUUCUUAUGGGAGGAACAUGGAGCUCCUAAAAUAUGAGAUGUGGAAGUUUCUCAAGAAAUUCGGUGGUGACCGAGCCAAGGAGAAAAGAGCAGCUGAGGAGGAAGUUAUUGUGCACUUAGCUUCUCAUUCCCAAUGGGAGGACCUUUCUGAUGAGGAGAGAUGAGAAUAUAAUAAACCACAAAUAAAUUAGAAGACAUAUAUAAAGCAAAAGCUGAGGGAGCAUAUGUUAGAUCCAGGAAAAAAUAGAUAGAAGAGGGUGGGCAAAACUCUGCCUUCUUCUUUAGUCUGGAAAAAAGGCAGUCCUCACUGGUUACUGUUGAUCAGAUUAAGGUAGAUGGUAAAAUAAUUGACAACCCCAGAGAAAUAGUCUCUUAUUGCAACAACUUCUAUAGAAAGUUAUACACUUCUAAUUAGUGAGGCAACUACCAACUCCUUUAUAGAAUCUAUUGGCCACUGCAAAGUUAUAUCCCCAGAAGAUAGAGAUUUCUGUGAUUACAGUAUUUCCCAGGGUGAGGUGUUAACAGCUAUUAGAGGUCUGAAAUAUAACGGAAGCCCAGGGUGUGAUGGCAUAACAGCUGAACUAUAUUAAAUGUUUGAUGAAUUUCUAUUUCCUUUUCUGCGUUUUCUUAGAGAGUUCAGAAAAAGAAGCUCUUCCAACAACUAUGACACAAUGUGUCAUCAGUCUGAUACACAAAACAAAGAACUAAACAAAGGCAGACACUGUUUAGAGAAUUGGUGCGCUACCACUCUCCUAAACAAACAGUCCCAAGUGAGAGCUGCGUGGAACAGAACCAGGAGACCCUAAGGUUACUAACUGUGUGGCCGCUACGGUUUGCUGUCUUCGCCGUCGUGUGUUGGUAUCGUGUACUGUCUCUUGUAUUGUAGGCUAACAGUUAGCAUCAGCCGAGUCACAGCUGGUAACGGAACGAUGCGGGGUAGCCUGAAACGUGGCUGGUGUGUGAGCUGCAGCUGUGGGCCAACUUACUAACAAGGAUAAUACUGAAGUUAUACCAAACACUUCAUCAUCAAAUACACAGCAGAAUACACCACAGAAGUCUCCCACUGAGCGAGACGAAAAGUUACUCAUUAAAAAUGUUUUAGGGCUGGGCGAUGAUAUAUUAUCUCUGAGCAAGCUGUAAGGUUAAUAAAAUUUUGGUUUCUAAUAUAUGAAGACGUUUGUCUGAUGUAAUACUUAUCCAUGAGAGUUAGUUGCUUUCAACAUUAGUUUGUUUUAUGUUAUGUUAAGACAUUUGUUAUAUCGUGAUUAUAUCACCAUCCGUAGUACAUUAUUUUGAAAAUAGCCUUAAUUCUCUGAUGUCUGCAGGUCUAAAGUUGAUUUGCGGUGUCAGAUAAGAGGCAUAUUCAUUGUCUGAUUAUGAAAUUUUUGCCCUUAUUUUUGCUAAUAGACUUAAAGAAGUGUUGAUAGAUGAAUCACAGUCCAGGUUCAUGAGGAAACAACAUAUUGCAAACAACAUUAGAUUAGUGCUGGACAUAUUAGAUUAUAAUGAGCUGUUACUUGAUUUUUACAAGUCGUUUGAUUCACUUGAACACUGUUUUAUUUUGAAAGCCCUUAAAAACUUUUGGAGAUGGUUUCUGUAGAACUGUCAGAACCCUAUAUGAGAAAGGCAGUAGUGCAGUCAAAUUGAAAUUUGGCACUUCGCCUAGAUUCAGUGCGUCACGUGGAGUCAAACAAGGAUGCCCUGUUUCUCCUCGCUCUUUGUGUCUCUAACAGUGCCUUGGAGGGGAUAACUAUAGCUAAUAGACAUAUUAUUAUUAGCCAGCUCGCAGAUGACACAACAGUUUUCCUGAGAGAUGCCUCCCAGAUUUCCCCUGCAAUAGAACUAAUUCAUGGUUUCUCACUGGCGUCUGGUUUAAAGUUUAACUUGCGAAAAUGUGAACUAAUGGCAGUUCAAGAAUGUCUCUUCUAUAUUUGAUAUUCCUGUGAUGGAUAAGGUAACUUACUUUGGAGCAGUUAUCUCCAAAGACCAAAAUACAAGAAAUCAUCACAAAACACACAAGAAAUUAAACCAUUGGGAUUUAUAUGUGAGAGGCAGAAUAUUACUAUCUAAAGCAGAAGGCAUAUCCAGACUCACUUAUUGGCUCUGUCUUUGGAUGUUAACACUGUGUUAUCCAAAAGAAUUGACAAUAUGUUUAAUUUUUUGUGGAAAAACAAAACUCAUUUUGUUAAAAACUCUGUGAUUAUGAACACUACUUGGUGUGGGGGUUUGAAUUUCUGGACUUCAUAACUCUAAACAACACCUUCAAAAAUCAGUUGGCUUAAAAAAUUUACUUAUAAUCCUUCAUCGUUAUGGAAUUUCUUUCAAAAUGCAAUUUUUUCCAAGAUUGGUAGCCUGGACUUUCUUUUAUUGUGUAAUAUAAUAUCAGCAAAAUCCCUGCCAAACUAUCAAAGAUUCAUAAGCAAAUGCUUUUGUCCUGGUCUCUCUUAUUUAAACAUAACUUCUCUCCAUACAGAUAAUCUAUUUGGAAUAAUAAGGACAUUCUCUAUAAAAACAAGUCAAUAUUUUUGGAAAAUUGGUUUAAUAAUAAUAUUUUACUUGUUUGUCAACUGUUUGAUACUAAUGAGAGACUCUAUAGCCUAGCAACGACAUAUCAAAUUCCCAUAUCAGUUAAACAUUAUGUGAUUGUUUUUGAUGCCGUUCCUCCAGGAGUCAGGAUGCUGCUGGGAGGCAUUAACUUCCGAUGGCCACUUCAUCACACUAUCAAUUUAUCUGACACUGCUGUGGGGAGUUUAUGCUUCCACAAAGCAACGGGUUACUAAAACUUAUUAGUGUUGUGGGUCCAGCCCGGCUGACGGUUCACUCACCCUCGUCCUCCGUUCUGUCGGCCGGGCUCAUCCUCUGGUCCUCUCCUCUCAGGUUUCCUCCACGGCGCCCUCCUGGGUCCCCCCACUCCUCGCCUCACCGCCUGCGCCUCGCCUGCUCCUCGGUCCUCCGUGUCCACAUCCCCCGGUGUCCACCUCUCCUCCAUCUCCUCUUCCCUAGCCCCUCUGUAAACUCUCAAUAAACCUCCUUCCCUCUGA